rnacentral:rRNA from 1 species
GCGGCGAGCGGCGGACGGGUGAGUAAUGCCUAGGAAAUUGCCCUGAUGUGGGGGAUAACCAUUGGAAACGAUGGCUAAUACCGCAUGAUGCCUACGGGCCAAAGAGGGGGACCUUCGGGCCUCUCGCGUCAGGAUAUGCCUAGGUGGGAUUAGCUAGUUGGUGAGGUAAGGGCUCACCAAGGCGACGAUCCCUAGCUGGUCUGAGAGGAUGAUCAGCCACACUGGAACUGAGACACGGUCCAGACUCCUACGGGAGGCAGCAGUGGGGAAUAUUGCACAAUGGGCGCAAGCCUGAUGCAGCCAUGCCGCGUGUAUGAAGAAGGCCUUCGGGUUGUAAAGUACUUUCAGUAGGGAGGAAGGUUCAUGCGUUAAUAGCGUAUGGAUUUGACGUUACCUACAGAAGAAGCACCGGCUAACUCCGUGCCAGCAGCCGCGGUAAUACGGAGGGUGCGAGCGUUAAUCGGAAUUACUGGGCGUAAAGCGCAUGCAGGUGGUUAGUUAAGUCAGAUGUGAAAGCCCGGGGCUCAACCUCGGAAUUGCAUUUGAAACUGGCUGACUAGAGUACUGUAGAGGGGGGUAGAAUUUCAGGUGUAGCGGUGAAAUGCGUAGAGAUCUGAAGGAAUACCGGUGGCGAAGGCGGCCCCCUGGACAGAUACUGACACUCAGAUGCGAAAGCGUGGGGAGCAAACAGGAUUAGAUA